AGCAGCCGCGGUAAUUCCAGCUCCAAUAGCGUAUAUUAAAGUUGUUGCAGUUAAAAAGCUCGUAGUUGAACUUCGGGGUUUACUCAUUGGUCAGGCUUAAUUGUCUGUACUGGUGAGAUGAAUCUCUACCUUCUGAGGAACUUUCAUGCCAUUUAUUUGGUGUGAUUGGAAAUCAGGACUGUUACUUUGAAAAAAUUAGAGUGUUUAAAGCAGGCUAACGUCUGAAUACAUUAGCAUGGAAUAAUGAAAUAGGACGGAUUGGUUCUAUUUCGUUGGUUUCUAGGGUCACCGUAAUGAUUAAUAGGGAUAGUUGGGGGCAUUAGUAUUCAAUUGUCAGAGGUGAAAUUCUUGGAUUUAUUGAAGACUAACUACUGCGAAAGCAUUUGCCAAGGAUGUUUUCAUUAAUCAAGAACGAAAGUUAGGGGAUCGAAGACGAUCAGAUACCGUCGUAGUCUUAACCAUAAACUAUGCCGACUAGGGAUCGGACGAAGUUAAUUAAUAAUGACGCGUUCGGCACCUU
rnacentral:misc_RNA from 1 species